ensembl:lncRNA
GUACAGAAGAGGUCAAAAGAGGGGAAAUCCUCACUGAAUUAUCUACUGCCCGGAGUGCUGCACAUCUCUGGGAGUGUGUGCAGUGUGCCAAUGUUGAGUUGACCAAGUGACCAGCAGAAUGAUAUUCAAUGUGAGCACGCUGCCAGGUGUCAUUACAGUUUGCCAAUCAGUAGAGGAAAGCAGUCUCACAUGCCGCCAUCUGUUACCGGGACGCCCUUGCCAGCUCACCAAUGUGAAAGAAUGCAAACGUGCAAAAGGCUAAAAAGAGAUGCGCAUUACACAUUGAAUCCAAUUCAUUCUGAAGUAUGAAAAGGCCUCGGAUCACCAUUCAAAUCUGACAAGGCACAAGACAUCACAGUUGCAGAGGCUCUGAGUCAUCCCGACUUCGACAUCACAGAGCGUGUUUUGAAACGCUGUACCGCCUCCCCCUCACGCCCCUCACCCCUCGCGUUGGACGGGGGCCGGAGGUCCUCUCAGUCAAAUCAAAAGCACUUCCCCCGGCGGUGUGGCGGAGCCCGCUGCCUCCGGAGCCACUCGUUGCGACAUGCGAGGGGGGGGAACUUGUGAUCUUUUGAAUUAUUCUGCACUUCAUUUCUAUCCCACCAUUCAAAACGCAACGUGAGAAUUGAUUGCCUCAAAGAUUCAUCUUUAUAAUCUCCCCGAGGCCCAUAAAUUAUCCAACUUUUGGGGCAGGGUGGACGAGCUGCGAAGGCAGAGCAGAGCCCCGUCCCCGCAGACUGCUGGGGGAGCCACACUGAAUGGGGCUGCUCUUUUCGCCGGCUGGAAGCGGGAGGGAAAAAAAAAGGUCAUUAGGCUGCCAAUCGGGGUAAUUAUGGAAAUGAUCUCCCCAGCUCUUUGGAAUGUUUUCCUGCUUCCAUAAGGACUUGAAAGUGUUCAAUCAGCCUCUCUCGUGGGAAAGUUCAGCCAUAACUGCAAGUGUACCAGCAAAAUCAAAUUAAGCAAAGAGAUUUCAUUAGUAUUUAUAGCCCUGAGGCAUUUGUAAAAGUAUGGAGCAGUGGAGUAAUGUGGGACUGUGGAGGGGAGAAUUAUUGCUUAAUGACAAAGGCCAUACCUAGAAGACAUACACAUGGAUAAUGAAUAGGGGGACAUGAUUGCAUCUUAAAGAGGAUUCUUGAGGGAAUGUAAAAUAUUGAUGCUUGUGUGGAUCUCUGUGGAUUCCCGGCAUGGGAGUGAGGGUGGUUACUUUGCUUGGGUGUUAACACUGUUUGGAUGAUAACUUUAUUAUCAAGACAUGUUUAAGAGCGUCUUUCAAAGUAUUAACAAACACCAAAUUAUUUUUGAAAAUCACUUAAAUUGUAUGAUAUGGUAAUGCAAGUUGGAUUAAUACAGCAACAACAUAACAUGCUGGAUUAACUUUACCCAGGAUCAGUCGGUUGAUUAGACCCUGUGAUGGUGUUAAUCAUUACAUCAUUUUGGGGUUAUUUAGUGUGAUAAUUAAUUGGAGGUAAUUGUUCUCAUAUUAAGAAUAUUUCAUACUGCAUACCUCUGUUCCAUUCAAAUUCAGUUGAAGAUAUUUUACUUUUAUGAUAUUUAUCUGAUUGCUAUAAUUACUUGAUGGGUC